rnacentral:rRNA from 1 species
UUUCGCAAUGCCCGAAAGGGUGACGAAGCGACGCCGCGUGAGUGAGGAUGGCCUUCGGGUUGUAAAGCUCUGUCAGGAGUUAAGAAAUAUAAGUGUGUUAAUACCACAUUUAUUUGACGAAGGCUCCAAAGGAAGCCACGGCUAACUCUGUGCCAGCAGCCGCGGUAAUACAGAGGUGGCAAGCGUUGUUCGGAAUUAUUGGGCGUAAAGAGCACGUAGGUGGGUUUGUAAGUCAGAUGUGAAAGCCUUCUGUUCAACGGAAGAAUUGCAUCUGAAACUGCGAGUCUUGAGUGUAGGAGGGGAGAAUGGAACUUCUGGUGGAGCGGUGAAAUGCGUAGAUAUCAGAAGGAACGCCGGCGGCGAAAGCGAUUCUCUGGCCUAUUACUGACACUCGGUGUGCGAAAGCUAGGGGAGCAAACGGGAUUAGAUACCCCGGUAGUCCUAGCUGUAAACGAUGGGCACUAAGUAGAGGGGUUUUA